UACGGAGGGUGCAAGCGUUAUCCGGAUUCACUGGGUUUAAAGGGUGCGUAGGCGGGCAGGUAAGUCAGUGGUGAAAUCUCCGAGCUUAACUUGGAAACUGCCAUUGAUACUAUUAGUCUUGAAUACUGUGGAGGUUAGCGGAAUAUGUCAUGUAGCGGUGAAAUGCUUAGAUAUGACAUAGAACACCAAUUGCGAAGGCAGCUGGCUACACAAAUAUUGACACUGAGGCACGAAAGCGUGGGGAUCAAGCAGG
rnacentral:rRNA from 1 species